ACCUCCUUCCACAGCUCUUUUCUCAUCUCUUUUCUUCUCCUCUUUCUCUCUCUAGCCGAUUGAUGCAGGGAGAGGGUGGUGUGGCAAAUUGAAGCUUUGGAGGUUGAUAGGAGCUGUCGAACAGCAGGAAACCAGCUAAGAAGGUUUAUAACUUCAGAGUUAGUGGCUGUGAAAGAAGGCUUGGUGGUGAGCAGAUUUGAGGUUUGUGGCCUGAUUGGAGCUACGAAAUUAGAGUUCCAGCUGAGGAAACUUGAAAAUUAAAGAAUGCAAGGAAUUAAAGAGGAAUCGUGAAGAUCUCGGCGCCCAAAUUGAAAGAGGCUGAUGGAUCCUCUUGGAUAAUUCGAAUUAAAAAAAAGAACUUGAUAAAACCUUGAAUCAAGGGGGCUGCGAAGGAGAAGCCGAAGUGCUGAAAUUUCUGCAUUGCGCAGAAUUUCAGCAUAGACUACUUGCUAUUGGAAUUGGAAAAGAGAACUUGGUGAAGCUUCGAAUUGGGGGCUGCAAAGGGGAAGUAGGUGUGCAGAAUUUCAGCAUAAGUACCCUGCUGUUGGAGCUGAAAGAAAGCGUGUUGGAGCUGCGAAUUGAGGUCGGCGAAGCGUUAAUUGCAUUAGAAGCCAAUUCGGCUCUAGUUGCAUUGAGUCGCGUAAUACCUUUGCGGAUUCACUUCGAGACGUGGAUUCUAGUUGUUGACACCACUACAGGUUUCAGUGCGAGCGUUGUGGCCGAGGAUCGAGGCAAGAGCCCAGCAGCCUAGCUAGUGGACACCCGAGUUUUAGUGGUUACCAGUUUGAGUUCAUGUAUCAUCUAUUUCGGUGUACAGAGACAUGUAAAUGAAUGUAAUAAAGUGCAUGUAAAUAAUUAAAUGUUUCA